AGGAAGUGCGGAAGAGUCAGAUCAGGGCUCAUAGAGUAGAGGCAGAUAGAAGAGUUGAGGGAGACCCCCACUCACGACCUCUACUCCCAAUGCCCCUAGUGGUCAUCAUUAGGAUAGUUGGUGCAAGAGGUCGAUGCACUGGAACUCCAUCUCCAACAAUUGUGACUGUGUGAUUGGAAAGGCUGGUGCUACACAACCAAACGAAACCCCCCUCCUCUCUCUGGAUGAGCUGUUAGGGCACCCUUUGCCUCUUCCCAGGAAUCUUGCUGGCCAGCUAAUUGCUCAGCUAGGGAGGCGUCUGCAGUCAGUGACAUCUAGGACAAUGAGGACUAGUCAUCCUGAAGAGGUGAUAACGCACAAUGUAGCAUUACAGUGUAAGGACUGGAGGGAGGACUAGGCCUCGCUUAGAGCCAAAUCAAAGGGACCAGCUCAGAGGAGCGGGCGGGAUUCCUGGCUCCACCCCCAGCAGAAGCUCUGGUCUCCUGGUGAGUCUGUCCCAGGAGGAGGAGGAGGAGGAGGAGGACCCCGAGGAAGAAGCAGGCUGAGAGCUGCUGGGGAGAUGGGAAGAAGGCCUCAGCCUGUGAGGAAGAAGGACCAGGACAUCCGUGCAAGGCCUCCGGAGGGAAGUGGUUCUUCUGUGCGGAUCGCUGGGGAUCUGCAUUGCCAGGUCUGAGGACUGCAAAGCAGAAGAAAGAAAGAAAGGGCGGAGGCCAGGAACCAUAGAGCAGAGGGCCUUCCUCCACCCAGCCCAGGACAUUCCCCAACACUUGCUGGGUUGCCAUGAUGCUCUGCUCUAGAUGAGCUUCCGUGGGCUGGAUCACCAGCCCUCCUCACACGAUGAGAUCUAAGAUUUCUUCCUCCAGCAAAAUGAAGCCAGCUCUUCCAAUUCAUCUAAUAGCAGCAGUCCUGCACGUGGCUGUGUCCAGAGUCAACCAGCUGGACCCAGGGACGCAGGGAUAUUCUUAUUGAGCUUUUUUUCUCCUGCGCCACAAACUCCUGCUGCCUCCACUCCCGGGGUCCUUGUCUCAUUUGAGACCACUUCAGAAUCUUUUCUAUGUCAUCCUUGUCUGGACCCAGUUCUUGUCCGCCAUUACGGAAGAUGUCAAAGACGUCAGGUCGUUGGGUGGUCAACUCCAUUCCUAUGAUAAGGACGAGGCCAUGGAAGCCGUACUGACUAUGGGAAACACCUAUAUCAGGCAGCAGCGAUAUAGGAAGAUGCUGAAAGGCUCAUACUGCGUGGGAGAUGGCCAUGGUAAACCCCUACCAAAGAAAACCACAUGGCUCUGUGCUUGCCAGGAGCCAACACAGACUCGACGGCACAACUUAAGGGAUCUUUUCUUUUUCUUUUUGCUUCUUUCCUCUUCCUCCCCCACUUUCAGUAAUACACAGAUAUAAUUGUUAUCCUUGAUUAUGUUAUAUACUGUACAUACUACUUUAAACUUAUUUGAAAUAAAAGAGAGAAAUUACAUUGUGGUUUGAAGGCCCUACAUCACUUGUUAGAAUCCAGAACACCUCAAUUCUAAGCUUUUAAAGGUCUAGAAUUCCUAUUUGAUGGCAUAAACGUAAAAAUCUCAGUAGCAAGAGACCAGUAUUGGAAGAUUAAAAAGAUGUUUCCUAUGUGGUGUUUUUUUUUGCCUAUUUGAGUAUUUUUGUCAGGCUAAGUCAUGUUUUACACAUGUCAAGUUACUUAUUCCAAAAUAAAAUGAACACUGUGCA